rnacentral:ribozyme from 1 species
GUUUUUUUUUUUUCCCUUCUUUCUUUCGUCCUUUUAUUCAUUUCUUCUUUCCUUUCCAAAUAUGUGGCUUCACGCUAAAGGCGAACACAAACAAAUGAAUGGGGAACCACUGAAGAAUUAAAGUGUUGAAGGGAAGGAAGUCA